rnacentral:piRNA from 1 species
UAGUAAAAAACAAAACCUGGUCUGUC